GUGCUCACACGGGUCACUGACGAACAACAGAUCCGCCCGACAUUUUUUGGUCAAGAAGCUCCGACCCGAAGUCUUCGAGAACCGAGACGCACCCGCGAAAUGACCCGGAGAAGACCGACUCAGUUUGAAAUUGCGAGUCGACUCACAACCACAACAGAAAAACAUGAGCUUCGCGAGAGCAUCCCAUCCACCACCUAUUCUUCCACUAGGUGAGCCAUUAACCAAUGCCGAUACCAUGCGAGGCGCUCGAUAUACACAGAGCUUCCGCCAUAAUAACCGUUUCGCUAUAGCUCGAAGCUUACGGUUGACUGAAGCGGUCAAACAAAGGACCUGCAAAUCCCAUUUUAUUGACUCGAAAACGAGUAACAGUACACACUCGUUGAGUAUCCCCGAGUCAUCCGACUCGGUUUCUUGACUCAGUGGAUUAAGUCUUCGUCUCUGGGCGGCACUCAUUUCUAUUAGGGGGCGGAGGAGGAUCGGGGGAUAGCGAUGGUAAUUUAAAAGCGCCUAAAUACCAGUGUCUGAAACUCGAGCGAAAGACACGUGUCCAAAUGGAAAUGGAUAGUCUAUUGCCCUAGAUCAUGGGACACGUGGUGUGAUAUCAUUGGAAAGCUUCGACGCGUGGUGGAUUUGUAUUGCGCGAUGCAGGUGAUCGAGGAUCGAGAAUAACGUCAGCUGGUAAAUUGAGAUGUCAGGAUCAGCCUCCACGUGUCCAAUGAUUUCCCCGAAAUACGAGAUAUCUUUUUCAUGCCUCGAAAAUAUCUAGAUGGCUCAAACUUCAACGUGUUGAAUACAAGUUGAGUGCUCUUUUCUUUUCCUAAAUAAAAAAUAAUUUAGUUUGAUUUUUUUGGUUAAAUAAUAUUUUAUUCUUGAAUUUAUUAUUUAUGUCUUUUUUUUAAUGGAUAAUAUUAUAACCAAAUAAAAUAACUUCAAAAAAAUCUAUACUAUAAAUUAAUAAACAUAAUGUAGAGAAAAUGAUAUGAUUGUCUAUAAGUGGUAAAAGCACCUUCUACUUUUAGAGAUAAAUUUAGAUUAAAAUUCCAACUAGAAAUGAUAAUCACAAAUCUUUAAAAAAAAUUCAUCUUUACUAAAGUAAAACGUGAUGGAUUGAUUGCUCAGGUGAAGGUGAAAUCUUCAACGGCAAAGUUUUCUGAAAUUUCACUACUUAUGUUAAAUGACAAUAAUUUCAAAUCGCACACUUUUAAUAUGGAUUUUAAUAAGUUAAAAUAUAUCAUAAAUCUUUAUACUUAAUUAAUUUAUAUAAUAUUAAGGGGAUUUUUGAAAUAAUAUGAUUUUUUUUUUACAAAAAUAAUAUGAACUUUGCAUGAAAAUCCUAAAUUUAUAUGGCGGCAUGGCGAUUGUGAAUUUAAAAUUACAGGAAUUCUAUGUUUCUUUUUAAUACAAUCAUUAUCUUGUAGUCACUCAAAAUCAAUAGCCACCUUAAUGAUUUAGGAUUCUCGUGUAUAGUCCGUGUUAUUUUGAUAAUUAAAAUUUUCAUAUUAUUUCAAUAAAUUUUUUUUUCAUAUUAUUAGAAAAGGUCAAAAAAAAAUAGCUUAAAUUAUUUUGUAAGAGGAGAAAUAGUGGUGGGAUGACACGUGGAAACAUAUUAACAGACCGCGUGUUUGCUUCCAUUUAUGAAACGAUAGCUGUUGAUAAAAAAGGAAGCGGGAAAAGGCUUAUUUGACUCGUGAUCAGCACGUGGAUUGAAGAUUCUAAUUAUGGAUUGAAGUGAUAAUUCUAAAUAAUAAUAUAUUAAAAUACAAGAAACUUAAUUAAAAAUAAUUAUAAUAUGAUACUUAUAUAAACAAUACAAUUAAUACAGAUGUGAUAUCAAUAUAUAAAUAUUUUAAAAUUUAAGAGAAAUUAUACAAAUGGUCAUUUAAUUGUACUUGCGUUCCUGUUUUGAUCACUUAGCUUUAAAAAAUUUCAAUGUAGACACUAAUAUUUAAAUUUAUUCCUAUUUUUGUCACCUGUCAUUAAAUUGUUCUAACUAGUAUAAUAACACAUUCAGUCCUUAAUAUUUACAUAUUAUAUCAAUUUGAUCUUAUUGCCAAAUCAUUCAAUAAAUAUAACUUUUUACACUUAUAAAUUCUAUCAAUUUAAUCCUCAAACUUUCUAACUAAAUGUUUCAGCUUUUAAAAUAAAAAAAAAAAACAUUCUGCAUCAAUAAAUUUGUACCAAAACAAAUUCUGCAAUAAACAAGUGGUAAAAAGCUCUAUAUUGGUAUUAAAAGUAACUCAAUAUUUUCUUUUCUAAUUUACAAUAUUCAAAUUUAAAUAUUUAAAUAUUAAAAUUUUAUCAGUUAACUAAAUAAAUAUAUGAUCUGUAUGCAACGUAAUGGAUAUCCCAUGAAAAAGGGACACCCUUUUUGUCUUAAGUACAAUUUUAUUAAUAGGGUUAUUUAAAGCUAUAUUUCUUCAAGGUUUAAUUGUGUCCAUACAACCCUUCUUAACAGGUCUCCUUAACAUUCAAAUGAAAUCUUUGAUGACUGAUUCAAUAAUCAAAAAGUUGUUGGUUGUAGAUGAGUAAUUUCGAAAAUUUGUCGAUAAAGGAAUUGGUUUGAAAAGUGCUCAUUAGUUGGUUUUAUAAAUUUAUAGACUUGUUGAAUUUUAAUUAAGAAUGUAAGUAUUGUGAACUAAAUAUGUUAUUAUACUAUUUUAAAAAUAAUUUUUUAUUAUCAAUUUAACUACGAAUGACUAAAAUAAGAGUUAAUUCAAAUAUUAGUGCCUAAAUUAAAAAAAUUUAAAGUUGAAUGACAAAGCAGGAAGUUGGAGAUCAUUUGUAUAGUUUAACUUAAAUUUCACAUUACCAAAUUUAUAUAAAUAAAAAAAUAAUAUUAAAAAAAAAGAUAUUUAUUUGUAUUUUUUUAAUGAAUUAUAAUAAUAGAAUAAAGUUCGAAUAAUAAAUGAAACUCGAACCCAUGUAACACCUAUAAUUAUUAUUAAAAACAAAAACAAGAGUGAGGAGUUAGCGAAGCUAAACUAACUUUUUAUGUUGGUUGGGAUAGGAGCAAUUUAUUACAUUAUGAGGUUCGAGCAGCUUUUCAGCAUAAAUGGGUGCCCACUCAUUUAUAGCUCAUAAAUAGAUUCUUUACCUUUUUCCGAGCUAUAAGUUAUGAUUUUGAUUUUUUUUAUUACUAGUUGAUUAACGUAAAAUAUAAAUAUAAAAAUAAUAAAAUUAAACAGUUUAGUGAUUAUUUAUAAUUAAGAGAUAAAAAAGAAUAGUUGGAUAAUCUCUACGGUAGUUUAUCCUUAAAAUAUUAAAAAAUAAUUUAUUUGACAGUUUAAUUAAUUUUUUAGUCUAGAUAAAUUAAUUUGUACCAAUUUUCAAAUUAAUUAGCUCAAAAUAAUUCGAUGAAUCAAUUUUCAAUCCAAUCAACUAACUUAGAGAAAAGUAUUAAAUUAACUGAAUUUUUAAUUCUUUUUUAUAAAAUAUAAUGAUUUAUUUAAUUGGACCAACAUAUCAAUAACUUAAUUGACCAGAAAAAUGAAUGAAUCCGAGGCAACAAACCUCUGCUAAAUUCUAUCCCAACCCUCUUAUAAUAACCCUCCGUAUGAUUGUAUCAACAAUCUUUUAUUUCUAAUUUAGCGAAAUUAUAUUGAUAUAAUUAGUGCAUAUUUUAAAUAAUAUCAAGUCAUCUUUUAAAAAAUAUAUAUUAAUUAAUUAUGAAUUGCAUCCCUUGAUUUAAAAAAAAAUUAAUAGCAAGAUUUAAUACUAUUAUUUAAUUAAACUAACAUUUCAAUUUUGGAUUAAUUUUUUAGUAAAAACUAAAAAAGGAUGGAUUUUAUAAUUAGAGCAAAAAAUGUGGGCACAGCUUCGGCAGAUCGCUUAGCCCCGUUCAUCUUCGGCGCAAGAGCGCUCGAUCAGUGAGCUAUUACGCACUCUUUCAAGGGUGGCUGCUUCUAGGCAAACCUCCUGGCUGUCUCUGCACCCCUACCUCCUUUAUCACUGAGCGGUCAUUUAGGGGCCUUAGCUGGUGAUCCGGGCUGUUUCCCUCUCGACGAUGAAGCUUAUCCCCCAUCGUCUCACUGGCCGACCUCAACCCCUAUUAUUUU
rnacentral:lncRNA from 1 species